rnacentral:rRNA from 1 species
CAUAGGUUAAUGAGGCGAACCGGGGGAACUGAAACAUCUAAGUACCCCGAGGAAAAGAAAUCAACCGAGAUUCCCCCAGUAGCGGCGAGCGAACGGGGAGCAGCCCAGAGCCUGAAUCAGUGUGUGUGUUAGUGGAAGCGUCUGGAAAGGCGCGCGAUACAGGGUGACAGCCCCGUACACAAAAAUGCACAUGCUGUGAGCUCGAUGAGUAGGGCGGGACACGUGGUAUCCUGUCUGAAUAUGGGGGGACCAUCCUCCAAGGCUAAAUACUCCUGACUGACCGAUAGUGAACCAGUACCGUGAGGGAAAGGCGAAAAGAACCCCGGCGAGGGGAGUGAAAAAGAACCUGAAACCGUGUACGUACAAGCAGUGGGAGCACGCUUAGGCGUGUGACUGCGUACCUUUUGUAUAAUGGGUCAGCGACUUAU